rnacentral:rRNA from 1 species
UGGUCAAUGGACGCAAGUCUGAACCAGCCAUGCCGCGUGGAGGAUGAAGGUCCUCUGGAUUGUAAACUUCUUUUAUCUGGGACGAGACACUUCUUUUCUAAGAGGCCUGACGGUACCAGAUGAAUAAGCACCGGCUAACUCCGUGCCAGCAGCCGCGGUAAUACGGAGGGUGCAAGCGUUAUCCGGAUUCACUGGGUUUAAAGGGUGCGUAGGUGGGUAUGUAAGUCAGUGGUGAAAUCCCCGAGCUUAACUUGGGAACUGCCAUUGUUACUAUAUAUCUUGAAUACCGUAGAGGUGAGCGGAAUAUGUCAUGUCGCGUUGAAAUGCUUAGAUAUGACAUGGAACACCAAUUGCGAAGGCAGCUUACUAUGCGGUGAUUGACACUGAGGCACGAAAGCGUGGGUAGCAAAC